rnacentral:lncRNA from 1 species
GAAGGAAAAGUCAACUGGACCAGUCUCAGGGUCUCUCACUGGACCAGGAACUCCACGAUGAGCUAUUGAGCAAACCUACAGAUCCUCUCAUCUCUAACUCCCCAGUGUCGGAUUACUGCCAUGCUAUCACGCUCAGCUUUCUACAGGAGUGCUGGUGACCGAGCUCAUGCUUUCCUGUCCCUGGAGCAGGCGCCAUACAGACCGGGCCAUCUCUCCAGCAUCCCCGAUCACUUUCAUUUUGAUUCCCUCCUGAUGUAGAGAGAAUAAACCUCCAUUUCAGAGGGAACGGGGUUUGAG